rnacentral:tRNA from 1 species
GUCCCUGUAGCGCAAUGAAUAGCCCGUUGGACUUCUAUUCCAAAGGUCGUGGGAUCGAAUCCUACCUGGGAUG